GCCCGGGUGGCGAAAUUGGUAGACGCAGUGGAUUCAAAAUCCACCGGUAGCAAUACCGUGCCGGUUCAAGUCCGGCCCCGGGCACCA
rnacentral:tRNA from 1 species